rnacentral:rRNA from 1 species
GAUGAACGCUGGCGGCGUGCCUAAUACAUGCAAGUCGAGCGAACGGACGAGAAGCUUGCUUCUCUGAUGUUAGCGGCGGACGGGUGAGUAACACGUGGAUAACCUACCUAUAAGACUGGGAUAACUUCGGGAAACCGGAGCUAAUACCGGAUAAUAUUUUGAACCGCAUGGUUCAAAAGUAAAAGACGGUCUUGCUGUCACUUAUAGAUGGAUCCGCGCUGCAUUAGCUAGUUGGUAAGGUAACGGCUUACCAAGGCAACGAUGCAUAGCCGACCUGAGAGGGUGAUCGGCCACACUGGAACUGAGACACGGUCCAGACUACUACGGGAGGCAGCAGUAGGGAAUCUUCCGCAAAGGGCGAAAGCCUGACGGAGCAACGCCGCGUGAGUGAUGAAGGUCUUCGGAUCGUAAAACUCUGUUAUUAGGGAAGAACAUAUGUGUAAGUAACUGUGCACAUCUUGACGGUACCUAAUCAGAAAGCCACGGCUAACUACGUG